CAGUAGCCACGGUAAUACGAAGGGGGCUAGCGUUGCUCGGAAUCACUGGGCGUAAAGGGUGCGUAGGCGGGUCUUUAAGUCAGGGGUGAAAUCCUGGAGCUCAACUCCAGAACUGCCUUUGAUACUGAAGAUCUUGAGUUCGGGAGAGGUGAGUGGAACUGCGAGUGUAGAGGUGAAAUUCGUAGAUAUUCGCAAGAACACCAGUGGCGAAGGCGGCUCACUGGCCCGAUACUGACGCUGAGGCACGAAAGCGUGGGGAGCAAACAGGAUUAGAGACCCCGGUAGUCCCUGUCUCUUAUAC
rnacentral:rRNA from 1 species